UCGAGCGGACAGAUGGGAGCUUGCUCCCUGAUGUUAGCGGCGGACGGGUGAGUAACACGUGGGUAACCUGCCUGUAAGACUGGGAUAACUCCGGGAAACCGGGGCUAAUACCGGAUGGUUGUUUGAACCGCAUGGUUCAAACAUAAAAGGUGGCUUCGGCUACCACUUACAGAUGGACCCGCGGCGCAUUAGCUAGUUGGUGAGGUAACGGCUCACCAAGGCAACGAUGCGUAGCCGACCUGAGAGGGUGAUCGGCCACACUGGGACUGAGACACGGCCCAGACUCCUACGGGAGGCAGCAGUAGGGAAUCUUCCGCAAUGGACGAAAGUCUGACGGAGCAACGCCGCGUGAGUGAUGAAGGUUUUCGGAUCGUAAAGCUCUGUUGUUAGGGAAGAACAAGUACCGUUCGAAUAGGGCGGUACCUUGACGGUACCUAACCAGAAAGCCACGGCUAACUACGUGCCAGCAGCCGCGGUAAUACGUAGGUGGCAAGCGUUGUCCGGAAUUAUUGGGCGUAAAGGGCUCGCAGGCGGUUUCUUAAGUCUGAUGUGAAAGCCCCCGGCUCAACCGGGGAGGGUCAUUGGAAACUGGGGAACUUGAGUGCAGAAGAGGAGAGUGGAAUUCCACGUGUAGCGGUGAAAUGCGUAGAGAUGUGGAGGAACACCAGUGGCGAAGGCGACUCUCUGGUCUGUAACUGACGCUGAGGAGCGAAAGCGUGGGGAGCGAACAGGAUUAGAUACCCUGGUAGUCCACGCCGUAAACGAUGAGUGCUAAGUGUUAGGGGGUUUCCGCCCCUUAGUGCUGCAGCUAACGCAUUAAGCACUCCGCCUGGGGAGUACGGUCG
rnacentral:rRNA from 1 species